rnacentral:misc_RNA from 1 species
GUGAAUCAUCGAAUCUUUGAACGCAAAUUGCACUCCCUUCGGAGAGUAUGACCGUUUGUGGGUGAGAAUUAAUAAAAAUCGGUGUGUUGCUUCUUUGUGACGAUCCGGAGUUUGGGUCAUCUUAAUAUCCUUUAGGUUUUAAGAGGUUUAAACUUGAAUUUUUUUGCGCAGUUUAGAUGUAUAUAAAUUCUUUUUUUUAUUCGUCUGUCUUAAUGUUCAAAUUCUUAUUAGAUGUGACCAU